rnacentral:rRNA from 1 species
AGAGUUUGAUCAUGGCUCAGAUUGAACGCUGGCGGCAGGCCUAACACAUGCAAGUCGAGCGGUAACAGAAAGUAGCUUGCUACUUUGCUGACGAGCGGCGGACGGGUGAGUAAUGCUUGGGAACAUGCCUUGAGGUGGGGGACAACAGUUGGAAACGACUGCUAAUACCGCAUAAUGUCUACGGACCAAAGGGGGCUUCGGCUCUCGCCUUUAGAUUGGCCCAAGUGGGAUUAGCUAGUUGGUGAGGUAAUGGCUCACCAAGGCAACGAUCCCUAGCUGGUUUGAGAGGAUGAUCAGCCACACUGGAACUGAGACACGGUCCAGACUCCUACGGGAGGCAGCAGUGGGGAAUAUUGCACAAUGGGCGAAAGCCUGAUGCAGCCAUGCCGCGUGUGUGAAGAAGGCCUUCGGGUUGUAAAGCACUUUCAGCCAGGAGGAAAGGGUGUGAGUUAAUACCUCACAUCUGUGACGUUACUGACAGAAGAAGCACCGGCUAACUCCGUGCCAGCAGCCGCGGUAAUACGGAGGGUGCGAGCGUUAAUCGGAAUUACUGGGCGUAAAGCGUACGCAGGCGGUUUGUUAAGCGAGAUGUGAAAGCCCCGGGCUCAACCUGGGAACUGCAUUUCGAACUGGCAAACUAGAGUGUGAUAGAGGGUGGUAGAAUUUCAGGUGUAGCGGUGAAAUGCGUAGAGAUCUGAAGGAAUACCGAUGGCGAAGGCAGCCACCUGGGUCAACACUGACGCUCAUGUACGAAAGCGUGGGGAGCAAACGGGAUUAGAUACCCCGGUAGUCCACGCCGUAAACGAUGUCUACUAGAAGCUCGGAACCUCGGUUCUGUUUUUCAAAGCUAACGCAUUAAGUAGACCGCCUGGGGAGUACGGCCGCAAGGUUAAACUCAAUGAAUUGACGGGGCCCGCACAGCGGUGGAGCAUGUGUUUAUUCGAUGCACGCGAGACUUACCUACACUGACAUACAGAGACUUUCUAGAGAUAGAUUGUGCUUCGGGAACUCUGAUAACAGUGCUGCAUGGCUGUCGUCAGCUCGUGU